rnacentral:lncRNA from 10 species
GAUGACCCAUAGUACCCCAUUCCUUGCUGCAAUGUAAUUAUAUUUACUUACAAGUGUGCUCCUGGUGGUCUUUAACUGAAGGGCACUGACUGGGUCACUGGUGAAGUUCCCCGCAGGAACUGAGUCAGACCCCAUCUCAGGGCCCUGCACAAGAUAGGUACCUGCUCUAAGGCGUGGACCCUCGCCACAGCCCUGGCCCGUCUUGACGGGCGAGGGUUACUGUACUUGUCCCAACCGUACAGAUGAGAAAGCUGAGACUCAGGGCCAGCAACCCGGGUCCCAGCGGAGCGCCCGGCACGCGCCAACACUUCAGCACCAGUCGCGGUGGCCACCACUGUGCGCGGAGAUGGCUGCGACGCGUGCGCAGAAUCUGGACCCGAAUCCACCCAUUGUCCGUUUUCCGCUGCCGCUGGAGAGAAUCUCUGAGGUCCCCAGGAGAGCCUGCCUGCACGGAAGAGACGCCUCCUCGGGAAAUUUGUGCACAGAGAUAACACAGGGGAUAUGCCAUAUGAAGAUGAAGGCAGAAUUCUACAAGCCCAGGGAUGCCAAAGAUUGCCAGCAAACCACCAGAAGCUAGGAGAGAAGUGUGGAUUAGAUUCUUCCUCACAGCCCUCAGAAGGAUCCAGCCCUGCCAAGAACUUGAUCUCAGACUUCUAGUCUCCAGAACUGUGAGACAGUGCAUUUUGUUUUGUAAGUCAGCCAUAUGGUUUGUGGCACUUUGUUAUGGCAGCCCUAGGAGAUGAAGACAAUAUGCAACAUGGUAUGUCCAUUAUAGGACACUGUGGGCCAUAAAUGUGUUCUUUGGCCUGAAGAAAUAAAACUUGGUGGUCCAAGUUGAUGUCUUAUCAUCUGUUCCAGUUCUUUUAUAGUAUUUUUGGGAUUUGAAUCUAAUGACUAUGCAAAGCCCAGUCCAGAGAACGUGUCAGGACCCAUUAUAGCCUCCCAGGGAUACUGGCUUCAGUCUGGUAUAAUCUACUUGUUAGCUAUGAGUGGUGCCUUCCCACUGGGAAUCUGCCCCAUAGCCACCUGCAGUCUCUGUCUUCCUGCUGUCAGAUAGGACGGUUCUUGUUGGCAUUUGGUGCCUCUGAGGGUGGAGGAGGGACGUGUUGCUGAGCAGCCCAUCCCUGCACGGCUGCAGCUCCCCUGUGUCCACUCCUUUGUUAAGCCCAGGUGGCCACCUCAAGGUCACCAGGAUAUCCACCUACCAGAUCUGAUCACUGAACCUGGGAGGGGUUCUUCAGGUGGGCAUUGACAUGACCUACUUUAAUG